rnacentral:rRNA from 1 species
AUUGAACGCUGGCGGCGUGCCUAACACAUGCAAGUCGAGCGGUAAGGCCCUUUCGGGGGUACACGAGCGACGAACGGGUGAGUAACACGUGGGUGACCUGCCCUCAGCUCUGGGAUAAGCCUGGGAAACCGGGUCUAAUACUGGAUAUGACUCCAUGACGCAUGUUGUGGGGUGGAAAGCCUUGUGCGGCUGAGGAUGGGCCCGCGGCCUAUCAGCUUGUUGGUGGGGUGAUGGCCUACCAAGGCGACGACGGGUAGCCGGCCUGAGAGGGCGACCGGCCACACUGGGACUGAGACACGGCCCAGACUCCUACGGGAGGCAGCAGUGGGGAAUCUUGCGCAAUGGGCGAAAGCCUGACGCAGCGACGCCGCGUGAGGGAUGACGGCCU